AGAGUCCAGCAGGCAAAGCUGAUGAGGGGAGGAUAGGUGGAGACGGAGAGUUAGUAGCAUAAUUAGUCAUACUAGCCACUCCCCUAGAUUCUGACCAGUCCAAAAUCUUGAAGUCAGUCCCAUGAGGCUGAUAAAGCACAGGCUUAUUCCCCACACAUCUUUUUUUCUUUUUCUUUUUCUUUUUCUUUUUCUUUUUCUUUUUCUUUUUCGGGAAUUGUGAUAUCUGUGCAUUCCCUCAUCCCACAAUGUGGAAAAUAUUGUGGUGCCUGGUAUUCCUCUGCCUCUAGGCCAGUGGGUAAAGUGACUCGAAUGCCAUUUAAACUGUCUUUGUCUGAGUCAAGAUCUUUCCCCUGUAAUGUAGUAGGAGAUACUCUCAGUCCAGUAGCGUUCUGCUUUGAAAAUCACUUGGGGGUACCAGUUCCCAAUCCUUGGUAAUUAACUUCUCUUUUGAUUGAUAGUGAAAGUUUUUCCAGCAGGCAUAUUCAUUAACUUAGUAUUAUUUACCAUUCCCACAACUUCUGGGCUUUCCCAUACCGUUGGAUGUAAAAGGAGUGGAUCAAGGGACAUAGGCCCAGUACAGCUUCCCUGUCAUCAUUGUCAGGGCAGUUUGUAAGGUCACGAUCAGCAUCAGUCUUUAUCCCAGCAUUAGCGUGUUUUACUAACCACUCUGGCAGCUAGCAUGCUCCUUCCCCAUAUUAAUACCUGAUCAGGAUCAUUUCAUGUGUCAGUAUGUCCUUCCAUUUCACUUAGUUGUAGGGUGCCAUAGACACUCAAAGAGUUCCUUGGCAUCUAAAUUUUAAAAUUUUAAAAUAAAAAGAGCAUGAUUUAAAUAAUUUUGUGGUGUACAGGGAUAUAAUUUUCUUUUUUUAUUUUAUGAAGAUACUGUUUUAAAGUUUUAUGGUCCCGUUUUAUAAUAUCUUGUCCUUGCGGAUUAUAAUGAAUCUCUGUAAUAUGGGUAGUGUUAAAUUGUUAACAAAACAUCUCAAAGGUUUGACUGUAAUAGUCAGUUUUAUAAUCUGUCUUAAUCUUAUUUGGAACACCAAGUACAGAAAAACAGUGUAGGCAAUGACUAAUUUUAUUUUUGGUUGUUUUAUUUGUUAAAGCAGUUGUAACUAGAAAGCCUGAGAAGGAAUCAAUACUCACAACUGUAUUUUAAAAUUUUUUAAAAUCAGAAAUACUGUAACAUCUAUUUGUCAUAACUGAUUACGUAUGAGUCUUUGAGGAUUAACACCAUUAUGUGGUGUAUGAAGAAAUUGAGGACACUGAGGACAAGUCUCUAUAAUUUGACGUGUUCAUUUUCUAGAAAUAUCAAAUUGUCUCAAACUAUUACAAUUUUUAAAAAGAUUUAUGUAUUUAUUUUAUGCAUGUGAGUAGACUGUAGCUGUACAGAUGGCUGUGAACCUUCAUGUGGUUGUUGGGAAUUGAAUUUUAGCACCCCUGUUCACUCCAGUCAACUCCGCUCGUUCAGUCCCUGCUAGCUCUGGCCCAGAGAUUUAUUUAUUAUUAUACAUAAGUACACUGUAGCUGACUUCAGACACACCAGAAGAGGGCGUCAGAUCUCAUUACGGGUGGUUGUGAGCCACCAUGUGAUUGUUGGAAUUUGAACUCAGGACCUUCGGAAGAGCAGUCAGUGCUCUUACACGCUGAGCCAUCUCACCAGCCCAAACUAUUACUAUUUUGAUGAUGUAAAGAAUGAGAUUGUUUGGCUAACUGUUCCUGUGUAAGGCCUAUAAUCUGGCAUGUAAACCUGUUGUAGCAUUGUCCUCACUAAGGGUCUAAGGCAAUCUAGUAUGAGCCCUUAAAUGUCUUAUAAAUUAAGGAACAAUAUAUUUUCUUAAAUUAAGUUGCAUUUGUAUUUGUAUAAAUGAUUGUAAAAUUUGAGAAUUAGUAGUAUUUUUUUAAAAAAGGAACAAUUUUAAGGAAUUGUAAACCAUGAGCUGUAUAUUGGCUAUCAGUAUGUAAAUUAAAAGUUUGAUUUUUUUUGUUAACAUUUUAAAAACAGUGGCUAUAUCACCUAAUUUAAUUAUUUGUGAAGCAGGGGGAAACCUGAGAGAAUAAACAUCUGAUUUAAUUAUUUAUGGUGUCUUUUCAUUAGAUGAGCUGUCUGUAAAUAUAGUAAAUGUAUUUUCUAUCAGCUAUAUGUGUUAAUUGAUAGGAAAUACAGAAGUAUGUAUAGAGGCAAAUUUUAAUAACUUGUCUUUUUGGAUAAUGAUUAUCAAAUUUGUCUAAAAAGUUUGUAUAUUUAAUAAACCAAAUGUCAGUAUUUUGUAAUAACCAAGUUAAUUGUUGUUUGGAAUUAAAAAAUACUUUUG
rnacentral:lncRNA from 1 species